rnacentral:rRNA from 1 species
AGGAAGCACCGGCUAACUCCGUGCCAGCAGCCGCGGUAAUACGGGGGGUGCAAGCGUUAUUCGGAAUCAUUGGGCGUAAAGGGCGCGUAGGCGGUUUUUUAAGUCGGAUGUGAAAGCCCGGGGCUUAACCCCGGAAGUGCAUUUGAAACUGAGAGACUUGAGUAUGGGAGAGGGAAGUGGAAUUCCUGGUGUAGAGGUGAAAUUCGUAGAUAUCAGGAGGAACACCGGUGGCGAAGGCGACUUCCUGGACCAAUACUGACGCUGAGGCGCGAAGGCGUGGGUAGCAAACAGGAUUAGAUACCCUGGUAGUCCACGCAGUAAACGGUGAACACUAGGUGUAGCGGGUAUUGACCCCUGCUGUGCCGAAGUUAACGCA